UAUCUUAACAAAAUCAUGAUAUUUCAUUUCUAGUAUAAGUAUUUUGCUGGGAACAAAAGCAAAGAAAGAUAGGUAUUUGUCUGGGUUAAUUACAGCAGUCAUGAAUUGAAAGAUAAUAUAUGUUUCAAGAUUCCUUCUGUUUUAAAUGAUUUAUUAUAUUUAUUGAAGAGUCUAUCUGAAAUCAUCCUCAAGAACUUAAAUCUCUCUCUCUCUCUCUCUCUCUCUCUCUCUAUUGUAUCAAUUGGCACAUGGAAAUCAGAGGGCUGGUUGGUUCAAUAAAAAUCUAAACUCCUCAACACAUUAUAAACAGUGGCUGCAAAAAUCAUUUAGUUGUCUGUAUUUAUGUGUAGGCCUCAUUGCUAAGUUGUAUGGCUGCUGGAUUUCAGGAUAUUGGCUAAUUCCAAGCCCUGCCCCAAGUGCAAACGACCCAUUGAGAAAAACCAAGGCUGUAUGCAUAUCACUUGCACACCACCUUGUAAAUUUGAGUUUUGCUGGCUCUGUCUUGGUGCAUGGUCAGAAUGGUGAAAGGACAGGUGGCUUUUAUGCCUGUAACCACUAUGAGACAGCGAAGCAGGAGGGAGUGUAUGAUGAGGCAGAGAAACGAAGAGAGAUGACCAAGAACUCUCUAGAGAGGUACACCCAUUAUUACGAAAGAUGGGCAACUAAUCAGUCGGUACAUACAAGUUUAAUAGUUUAUUUAAAGUUGGUUAACUUAAACAUAAGUUACCUGGUUUCUGUUGGCCUGAUUUAUUUGUGAUUUGCAUCACUCCUUGAGUCCUUGCCCUUGUUAAUUAAUAUUUAUAGUCAGUGUAUGCCACCUUGUCCCCCCAAUGAAUGUGCCGACUUCCUAGUAGUUUUGAUACUUCUGAAAUAAUUUAAGUUAAGGCAAGGCCUAAAUUACUUUUUCUUCCUUCUUGAUCUGUAACUGCAAUGAGUUUCAGGUUAAGAGUACGUAUUUGAGAAAAGUUGUAAUUUGUUAUCAGCAUUUAGGACCCUCUUUGUCCUGUGUUUGUGUCUGUGUUUGUGUUUGUGUUUAUCUGGCCUGCAGUUUUGAAUAUAUGACCUUGCGUUUGUGUUUGUGUUUGCUUCACUGGAAGGCAGCUUUAUUCCAAGUUUUUGGCCAUUAGGGUGCUUUUUCUGCAGUUAUCUAUUUGCAUCGAGUACAGUUUUUUGGUUUUACGCUGUUUGCUUCUCUCUGCUGGGACUUGAGGCUAUUAGGUGUGUCUUGCAUUUUGAUUUUUCAAUGCUUGGGGUUGAUAUCCAGAGUUGGUCAAUGUUAAUCUAGCAAGUUGUUAGACAUCAGUUUAUGUUCAUAUUCUAUAUAACUUGAUGCUUUACAACAUGUGUGGAAUGAUGCAUUUUAAUUCAGAUACAAAUAUAUAGUAGGAGUUGUAAACUAUUUUCCGAGUUGCAGCAGCAAGGAAUUUCUUAUAAAGCUACCGGUUUGUUUCUUAGACCAGAGGGCCAUCAUUAUUCAUUUCAUUAGUGUUGUGAUGGUCCCAGAAAUGUUACUGUAAUCGUUGACAUAUAUUUUUAUAAACUGAGAUGAGAGGGAAAAAAAAAACCAAGGAAAUUAGGCCAAUAUUUAUGGAUGAGCAAGACCGCUCUUUUUGUGUUUUCUGAUACUUUUCACGGUAUCUCUGAACAGCAACUGCAUGUGACAAAAUCAAAUGAUGAGCAGCAAUGUAAGGCUCAGUUUGUGAAAUCCCAGCUGUGCAAUUUCCGUAAGCUUUGGAGCAUCGUGCCAGAGAAUUCAUCCCAUUGUCAUAGCCAAGAGCGACCACCACUCUAGGCUCAUUGAAUGUCAUCCGGUUCUUCACUUUCCCAGUACCAUCGAUAGACAUCAAAAUUUAGGUUUUUUCAUGAUAUCAAUGUCUUAUUUGUAACGGUGAUAUUUGUCCACUGUAACAUCUGCUGUAUCAUUAUUUGCAAUGUUAUGAUAACAUUAAGACAUUAUUGUUGUGUAGUAUGUGACGGGAUGAUCUAUUAUCGUG